GGUCGGCCGGGGGCAUUCGCUGCGGGGAGUCGCAAGACAUCCCGGAGAGGAAAGUCCGGACACCACAAGGCAGCGUGCCGCGCGCAAGCGUGGAGGCUGGAAGCGCAAGCGACCGGUCAUGGAAAGUGUCACAGAAAACAUACCGCCCUUCCGAGCUUCGGCGCGGAGGGGUAAGGGUGAAAAGGCGGGGUAAGAGCCCACCGGCCCGAGAGUGAUCGAGGGCGCACGACAAACCCUGCGCGGUGCAAGACAGAACAGGAGAAAGGCCCGCCUGGCCGCAAGUCCCGUCCCGCAAGGGCCAGGAUGGAUGUCUCCGGGUAUUAGUCGCACCUCGCGCAAGCGGGGCGCGCGUCUCGCAAGAGGCGCGUCGAGAGAAAUGAAAGCCACCUGCGAGCAAUCGCAGGCACAGAAUCCGGCUUACACCGGCCGACCCAAC
rnacentral:RNase_P_RNA from 2 species